rnacentral:rRNA from 1 species
UACGUAGGUGGCAAGCGUUGUCCGGAUUUACUGGGCGUAAAGGGCGCGCAGGCGGCUCAUCAAGUCUGGGGUGAAAUCUCCCGGCUCAACCGGGAGGGGUCUCUGGAUACUGAUGGGCUUGAGGAAAGCAGAGGAAAGCGGAAUUCCCGGUGUAGCGGUGAUAUGCGUAGAUAUCGGGAGGAACACCAGUGGCGAAGGCGGCUUUCUGGGCUUUUCCUGACGCUGAGGCGCGAAAGCGUGGGGAGCGAACCGG